CUGCUAAUGCCUGGAAAAUAAUUGCUUGUUUUGUAGCAUUUGAUGCUGCACUUCAGCCUCUUUUACCUGGAAAAACGGUUGAGGGUCCUAUUUCUCCCGAAGGGAACCGACCCGUUUACAAGCAUACAUGGUGACAUUGGUUGCAUAUCUUAGCCUUUGGUGGUGAGAACUUUCUCUGUGACAUUCUUAUGUUUGCACUCCAUCUAGUUUGACACCCGCUCAUCGGAAGGCUUGUGGUUGGUAAAAAGUUACUUUAGAUCCAGCAAAGCAGUGUACACGGUGACAUUCUGCUUCUGAUGGUAAAAAAAAAAAAAAAUCAAUUUAGCCCAAGUGACACAUGAUUGUAAAGUGUAACUAAUACUCUCCUGUGUUUAUUUCAGGUUUGGUAUAUUCAACCCUGCAGUUGUCUAUGAUCAUUUGGGUGAAAUAUUUUCUGCUCUCAUUCUUGCAAGCUUUAACUUCUGUUUUUUCUUAUACGUAAAACUAAGAAUUUAUAACUAGGCAACUUGUUUGCGUUCUCAUUUAUUUUGCUAUACCUCUUACCAAAAUGUUUUCGUGUCUGCAAGGGUCAUUUGGCGCCAUCAUCUACUGAUUCUGGUUCAUCUGGGAACAUAAUAAUCGACUUAUAUUGGGGGAGUUCAGAACUUUAACGUUAUCUUCAUUUUACUCAUGUGAUUAUUGUUGCUGUUUGUCAUUAAGCAAUCUAAAUGAUAGGGGAAUAGGGAGAUUGAGCCAGGUAUAUAACUAAGAGGAACGAGCUUAAAUCAGAAAAAAAGCAAUCCUUUGGCCAGGAUCUAACUCAAAUUUAAGCUUCUUCUUUUGAAAUCUGUGAACCAAGCUGAAAAGUUUUUUCAAUACUUUGGACAUCUGAUGGUUUUGAUAAACAAUAAAUUGAAGUACUAUCAUUUUGCCUUUCCUUUUUUCACAUGUCUCCUCUUCUAUUUCAGGGUGUGGAGCUGUAUCCUCGAAUUGGAAAAAAUCUUGGCAUCAAAGUUUUCACAAACUGCAGAUUUGGGAUGAUGGCUUGUGCCAUUCUGGCAUUAACCUAUUGCAUUAAGCAGGUAAAUGCUGGUAGUCAUUUCCUGGUGAGAAUUAACAAUACUUGUCUUGUAAACAUACUGAAUCUAAGAUGAUACAAGCUAUUCAGUGAGAGGUUAAAAACCCUUGUUUGUUUGGCUGAUAAAGGCAUCACUUAGCCCAUGCAGAACUAGCCCUACAUGUCAACAAUGCCAUCUGUUCAUCAUUUCAUCAUUUAGGUACCCCUGCAAUAUGUUAUUUUCCAACUUAGUUCCACUCGUGGUCUUCCUCAUCUCCGAGGUUUUUUUUACCUUGUACCUGCAACACGUGUAAUUCCACUUGGAUUUUUUUACAAGUUUUACAUGUAUACGAUCGCAAGAUUACGAGCCUUCAAAUCCAGUUCUUUUGUAUUGUAUCAUUAUGAGCAGAAUGGGGAAGUAGCUGAUUCCUUGCUUAUACACACAAUAUUGGUGCUAUUGCACAUCACAAAGUUUUAGUUGGGAAGAUGGGUACAUGAGUGCCAUGGACAUUGCUCAUGAUCGAGGUUUAUCUAUUCUACUUGCGUAUAUUUUCCAAUUGUCCUUUUAAUUUUGAGUUGCAAGUUGUCAUCAACUGGAUUGCUAUCGAUUAUCUAUGAAGAAAAAUACUAGCCUUGAUGCUGUAAAAGGGGUUAUCAUUUUCUCCAAGAAUCCCUUUUUUUUUUCCAUGCGUAACAUCUUAUGCUUACUACUUUUGGAUUCGGCCGCUGGAAUUUAUCUUUCUUGGGGCUUCUUGGUAUGGCUUCCAUGUGUCUAUAGUUCUCCUGGCAUGUACCUUGUUAACCAUCCUGUGAACCUCGGAAUUCAGGUAUAUCAUCCUAGUCCUGCGAGUCUUGAAGAAAAAUCAUUUUACCUAAUGCCCUUUAUCACUUGAGUUAUUAACCAUCUCCCUCCUGUUUUCAGGCAUUGUCUGCUUAUAUAUCCCUUACGAUUGUGACAGGCAAAAGCAAGAAUUUCGCAGAGCUAAUGGCAAGUGUUUGAUUUGGGGAAAGGCUCCAUCAAAGGUUUGGGAGCGGGGGGUUUAGCACGGAGGAGAAGAUUGGUAGGGCAAUUUAGCUUUCUGGGCAGCAAGUUGAAAGGGAAAUGACUCCGCUUUAUGAGACACUGAUGCGCUGCAAAUAUGACCGUACAUGAAGAAAGCACGGCAGCUGGUUAUAUGAAUUUUCUGCAUGUAGCUCGUUGGGCUCUAGGAGAACAAAUGAGAUAUCAGAAUGAUGCUGUUGGUUUUGGUUUGGGAAGCGGUGCCACUGCAACAGCUGAUUUUGUGGUUAUUGUUGUAAUUUUAAAAAAAUUAUUUUAUAAAAAUUAUUUUUAGUUAAAGCUAAUUUGAUAUUUA